AUUUCAAAAAUGAGUCAGCUACUGUGAAGGAAAGACAAAGGAAAAGAAAAAAGAAAACCCAACAGAAAAUCUGCAGAUAGCUUUAGAUCAGCACAGGAACAAGCACAGGCUUCGGAUGGGCAGGACAUCUAGAGUCCAAAGAAACUUUGGUGGAAAUCACAGCUCUCAUCCUUAUUGCAUGACCUUUGGCAAGUUUGUAAUAAUAGAAGAAGAAGGAGAAGGAGAAGGAGAAGAGGACGACACAGAAGGAUGAUAGCUACUAUUCCCUGAGUGUGGACGGGGAGCCGGGGAAGGGACUAGACACUUACGAAAGAGCUAAUGUCACAACAACACUUCAAGGAUUUUUAUCCUCUUCUUCGGCCUCAAUAUUGUUUGAGUGUUGUUAUCUUUUACCCUACGGAAGAUUAGCAGAAACAAGCAAAGAAGCCUUGCUUCGUACUGCUUUUUUCAUCUUCACGGAGCUGAAACCAAAUGAAAUAGAUUACAACAGAGAUCUAGGGUGUGUGGAAGAAUAAUCUCUCUAACCCCUUUAAUCUCCAGAAAUCUGGCCGCCACAUUUAUCAGUACACCAUAUAAGGUGCCUUUGUUAUUGUUGUCAUUCACUAAUGGAAAGAAACCUGGAGAUCUUUAAGAAUGCUCAUCUUCUCAACCUCUCUGUUGCAUUUAGUGUGUUAGUUGCCCCCUCCUGGAAUGGAUGCCAGGAUAAUAUUUUUGAAAGAGCAGCCCGUGUUUUGUUUUAUUUUGUUUUUCCUCCAAGUUCCCCCUUUCCCUUACCAGACUGCCCUCAUACCACUGUCCAGUAGGUUAACGGCCUGAGUUCAUGGUCUCAGAGGAAGGGUAUGACAGGGUUUAAAGCAGAAAGAAGACUCUGUGUCUCUGGAUUUUUUUUUUUUUUUUUUUCAUUCCAAAAGCCAAACCUCUUGGAUAAUUUAGAGAAUUGGGACAGAGGUAAAGCAUCAGAUUCAGAAAAACAGGUAUUUUCCUUUGGGUUGAGAAAAAGAGUCCCUUAGUCUGGGGAGGGGAGUGGAGAGCUCAGUGGCUAUCAAAGAAAGGGGCUCUUCAAGUGCGGAUGCCACUGGGGCAGAGAAACGCCUCACCCUCCUUCCUGGCAAAGCCCCUUCCCCCUGGACACAGCAAGACUCCAGAGAGGGAGCGGUCGCCUGCCAGCUCUAGGUUGGUGGGGCCGUCGAGAGCCCCGAGGAGAUUCUUGCGCUCUGCCAUGAAGCAGGAAAUGCAUGGUGGAAGCUGGCUGGCUGGAAGAGGGGCUGCCAGCAGUAAUGGGGAUGUGACAGUGAUGACCACUGUGGUGCAGUGCUCGUAAUCAAAUGAGAAAAGGGACAAGUCUCUCAAGGGCCACAUGAGCCCAUCCCCACGAGCCCCUUGGAGCUUAGUAAACUCCGGGAAGUAGGUGAGAACCCCAGGCUGGGCAAAAAUAAGUUUCUGCUUCCUCUUGCACAAAGGAGCUGAACCUCUGGAAGUUAAUUGGAAUUAUGCAAUAAAAUUACACCUCUUUUCAACUUGCUGGUGGACUGCAGUUAACAUCUAGUCUAUACUGUGGUCUCCUAGUGCUGGGCAGUCCUUCUGUGCUCAGACUAUUCCUCAUCCAGAGUGACUAUGGACCCCAAGCCACUCAACGAAGGUCCAGCUCACAGAAAGUCUCAAGAAUCGUUUUCGAUGGAAAAUUUUCUACAGCACUUGCAUAUAGAUUCUAGCAGAUUUUUUCCCCAAGUCUUUUCAGCUUCCGUUGAUUCUCGCCCCAUCCCCACUGUUCUCACUUGAUGGUCCAUGUUUUGGGAUGUGUGUGUGCCUGAUAAUGUGCUGAGCGUGAAGAAUGCAGCAACCCACAGGACAGAGGUGCCUCUUGGAGACUGUGGUCUGGUGAGGAGACAGAUACUGUAAAAGGUAAUUGCAUGAACAUUAUACCGUAUACGCAUUCAGUGCAAUGACUAUGCACUAUUAAGUACAAUGAGAAUAUAUAACAAGGAGAACCUAAUUAGACUAGGUGUCCAGAGAAGUCCUCCCUGAAGAAGCGGCAUUUAGGGUGAAAUAGGGAGAAUGAGUCGAAGGUAGGCAGCUAAGACGGAAUAGGUGUGAGCGGGGCUGGGGGAAGAGGUUAGUGUUCUAGGCACAGAAAACACCAGGAGCAAAGACCCCAGAGGGUAAAAGAUCAUGUCCUCCAACUCACAUAGAGGAGGGUGUCCAGAAUGGAGAGUACUAGUGGGAAAGCAGACGGAAUGACCCUGGAGCUCUAAGCAGUCAUGCAGCUGCACACAGGUCACGUUAAAACAGCAAACCUGGGCACUGAGAGCAAAAGGAAAAGUAUCCAUGAAGUCAGUACAGGGAAGUGAUGCGAGCAGAUGUGAAAGUACUUAAAAUGAGUACAACUGUAGUAAGAUACAAUUUUCAUCUAAAAUAUUGAGAAAAAUUAAACAAUAUGAUGAUAUCCGGGGUUGGUAAGAUGGUGGCAAAUAAACAGCUUCCUGCACUGCUGGAGUGAAUAUAAAUUGAUGCCUCCCUUUGAAGAGUAAUUCAGAAAUCUAUAUUAAAAAUGGAAAUGACCAAGCAGCUCCACCAUAAGGAUUUACACUAUGACUAUGUUCUCAAAAUAUAACUAGUUUUCCAGCAAGACCCAACAAAGCAUCUUCUUUAAUAUUAAAAGUUUUAGCAACAAAAACUGGACAUAAUCUAAAUGCCCAUUAUAGGGGAUUGGCUAAAUAAAUCAUAGGAUGAAAUGUUAUGACACAUUAACAAUAUACUGCAUAUCUGUUUUGCUAAUAUGGAAGAUCUCAGAGAUAUUUAAGCCUGUGUAGUACGAUUUCACUUAUAUACAUACUUAAUGGCAGUUGCAUAUGUAUGGGGAUUAUAAAUUUUUAUUUAUUAUAUAAAAAUUUUUAUUAUAUAAAUUAAGAUUUUUACUGGAAGGAUAGAUACACAGAAAGUGCUAAGUUGGCUACUUUUGGGGAAAGGAACCACUGGUGAUAGCUGGGAGAAUUUUACUUUGAUUUCGUUUGGUUUGAUUUCUUUCCUACUGUACUUGUGUAGCAGACAUAGUAUGUUGCCUUUCCUCCGUCCAUUUCCCACAUCAUUGUUGUUAACAGAAGCCUGAGGUUUUUGAGCUACCACCUCUCAACGUUGGGGACCCAAUCCCCAACGCAGGGGUAAAUUGUGUGUAA